ensembl:snRNA U6 U6 spliceosomal RNA
GUGCUUGCUUCUACAGCACAUAUACUAAAAAAUUGGAAUGAUACAGGGAAGAUUAGCAUGGCCCCUGUGCAUGGAAGAUAUACAAAUUCGUGAAGUGUUCCAUAUUUUA